AGUGAACGCUGGCGGUAGGCCUAACACAUGCAAGUCGAACGGCAGCACAGUAAGAGCUUGCUCUUACGGGUGGCGAGUGGCGGACGGGUGAGGAAUACAUCGGAAUCUACUUUUUCGUGGGGGAUAACGUAGGGAAACUUACGCUAAUACCGCAUACGACCUACGGGUGAAAGCAGGGGAUCUUCGGACCUUGCGCGAUUGAAUGAGCCGAUGUCGGAUUAGCUAGUUGGCGGGGUAAAGGCCCACCAAGGCGACGAUCCGUAGCUGGUCUGAGAGGAUGACACGCCACACUGUAACUGAGACACGGUCCAGACUCCUACGGGAGGCAGCAGUGGGGAAUAUUGGACAAUGGGCGCAAGCCUGAUCCAGCCAUACCGCGUGGGUGAAGAAGGCCUUCGGGUUGUAAAGCCCUUUUGUUGGGAAAGAAAAGCAGCAGGUUAAUACCCCGCUGUUCUGACGGUACCCAAAGAAUAAGCACCGGCUAACUUCGUG
rnacentral:rRNA from 1 species